AGAGGAAUAGUUUAAUUUGGUAAAAUAGUUGUUUCCAAAUAAUUGUUGAUAGUUCAAGUCUGUCUUCCUCUG
rnacentral:tRNA from 1 species